rnacentral:rRNA from 1 species
GAGUUUGAUCAUGGCUCAGAUUGAACGCUGGCGGUAAGCCUUAAACAUGCAAGUCGAGCGGUAACAGACAUAAAGAUUUAGCUUGCUAAAUCCGGUGCUGACGAGCGGCGAACGGGUGAGUAACACGUAGGAAUCUACCCAGUAGCGGGGGAUAGCCCAGGGAAACUUGGAUUAAUACCGCAUACACCCUCAGGGGAAAAGAAAGCCUCUCUUUGAGGCUUUCACUAUUGGAUGAGCCUGCGUAAGAUUAGCUUGUUGGUGGGGUAAAGGCCUACCAAGGCAACGAUCUUUAGCUGGUCUGAGAGGACGAUCAGCCACAUUGGGACUGAGACACGGCCCAGACUUCUACGGAAGGCAGCAGUUAGGAAUAUUGGACAAUGGGGGCAACCCUGAUCCAGCUAUACCGCGUGUGUGAAGAAGGCCUUAGGGUUGUAAAGCACUUUAAGCAGGGAAGAAGCAUAUAAAGUUAAUAGCUUUAUGUGUUGACGUUACCUGAAGAAUAAGGACCGGCUAACUCCGUGCCAGCAGCCGCGGUAAUACGGAGGGUCCAAGCGUUAAUCGGAAUUACUGGGCGUAAAGCGCGCGUAGGCGGUUUAAUAAGUUGUACGUGAAAGCCCUGGGCUCAACCUAGGAACUGCAUGCAAAACUAUUAAGCUUGAGGACGAGAGAGGAGAGUAGAAUUUCAGGUGUAGCGGUGAAAUGCGUAGAUAUCUGAAGGAAUACCAAUGGCGAAGGCAGCUCUCUGGCUCGUUUCUGACGCUAAGGUGCGAAAGCGUGGGUAGCAAACAGGAUUAGAUACCCUGGUAGUCCACGCCGUAAACGAUGAUAACUAGCCGUUGGGCAGAUUUAACUGUUCAGUGGCACAGCUAACGCAUUAAGUUAUCCGCCUGGGGAGUACGGCCGCAAGGCUAAAACUCAAAUGAAUUGACGGGGGCCCGCACAAGUGGUGGAGCAUGUGGUUUAAUUCGAUGCAACGCGAAGAACCUUACCUGGUCUUGACAUCCUCGGACCGCUUCAGAGAUGAAGUUUCCUCUUCGGAGGCCGAGUGACAGGUGCUGCAUGGCUGUCGUCAGCUCGUGUCGUGAGAUGUUGGGUUAAGUCCCGCAACGAGCGCAACCCCUACCCUUAAUUGCCAUCAGGUUAAGCUGGGCACUUUAGGGGGACUGCCGGUGACAAGCCGGAGGAAGGUGGGGAUGACGUCAAGUCCUCAUGGCCUUUAUGACCAGGGCUACACACGUGUUACAAUGGGAGUUACAGAGGGAAGCUAAACCGCGAGGUCAUGCCAAUCCCAGAAAAACUUUCUCAGUUCGGAUAGCAGUCUGCAACUCGACUGCUUGAAGCUGGAAUCGCUAGUAAUCGCGGAUCAGCACGCCGCGGUGAAUACGUUCCCGGGCCUUGUACACACCGCCCGUCACACCAUGGGAGCCGACAAGGGCAGAAGUCGCCGAGCUAACCUUCGGGAAGCAGGCGCCCAAGCUGUUGUUGACGACUGGGGUGAAGUCGUAACAAGGUAACC